GGAGAGGAGAAGGCCUACGUGCUCCGUGAGCAGGAGGACGGUCUGGGAAAAGGGGUCAAAUCCCCCGGCCACUGAGCCAACCCAUCUUGAUGUUGACUGCUCCCCUGUCCCCUGCAAAGGGCCACCUCCUACCCUGUCCAUGAUUGUUGUCUCUGGGGUGUGCACAGUGAGCUCCCUUCUCCAGUGUGGAAACAUGGGGACACGAAGAGACCUCAGGAACGAUGUGUUCAGCCUGCCUGGCUCCAUUGGGACCAGUAGGAAAGGCAGACUAGUCUUGAAAAACUUUCCAGAAAAUUCCUUCAGCCCUUGAUAGAGGUGGAAGGGUCACCACUUCAGCAUUUUUGUGAUCAGGGCCAAGAUGCCUCUAGAGAACUCUGGAAGAGGGAGGCAGACAACAGAUGCAGGUGCCCUGGAGGUGGUGAUUGGCUGUGCUGCUUGUAUAAAACUCUUCUCUGAGAUCUAAUUUCUUCAUCACUAAAAUGGGGGGAACACUAGCCUGAUGUAGAGAAGGGAUCUGAGCCAUGUUUGUGACCUACACCACAGGUCAUGGAAACACUAAGGAUCACAGUAGAUCCUUAACCCACUGAGUGGGGCCAAGGAUCGAACUCAGAUCCUCAUGGGCACUAUGUUGGGUUUGCUAAAACUGAGCCAUGAUGGGAACUCCUCAGCGGCACUUUUGGAUGUCUGCAGGUGCUCUGUCCUUAUUGCAUAGAUGGGAACUGGAGGCUCAGAGAGGGCCAGGGGCUCUGCUCCAGGGACAGAGCCAGGACUGUGAAUGGUGUCUGACAUCUCUGGACAGGACACAGAAGUGUCGGGAAUCUGGGAAUUGGCUAGAGCAUCGGGGCAGGGAGGCUGGGAGAGGGGGCAGAGAUGGAGACAGGAGAGAUAGGAGCCUGAGGGACGGAAGGAGAAAAAGCAAACACCUGUUCUUGCCUGUCCAGCACCCCUGCUUCCUGAAGUGGUGCCUCAGUUUCCCUAAGGCUCAUCCACACAACUUGGGGGAGGUUCUAGGCAUGAUGAUGUGACUCAGGUCUGGUCAACAAGAAUCACAGUGAAAAGUACAGGGUUGGACACAGGACCAGUCCUGUCUGGGAAGAAUCAUGCGUCUGCUGGAAUCACUGGGAGCUUUUGGUCUUAGGGAUGCUGAAGCAGGAGGGACAUGAGCCAUCUGUCAGGAGAGAAUGUGACUGAGAAUGAGGUCAACCUGGGGAAUGGCAGGCCCAAGAUGUGGGGAGGUACAUCAUUGAGCACCUGGAUCCAACCACACCUGAAUCCAUCCCUAGACUUCCUGUAUGUGAGUCAACCCAUUUCUCAGAGUAAGGUUUCUAUCCCUUGCACUCGAGAGUCCUGGCACAGAGAAGGAAGGGGAGUAAGAAGGAAGGAUGAGUAUUUUUAAGAACAGGUGUGUGAGGGUUAUUCAAAUGAGCUUCUUGGCCUUUUUAGAGAGAUGGAGGGCAGACAGAAAUUUGGACCCUCACCCCACUCGGAGGAGUUCUGCCCUGGGGCUCACAGCGUUGCCUAUACCCUUGUGAUACAAAAAUAAAUGCCAUAGAUACAGAAAUAAAAUGUUUACCUUCCCUGGGUCCAGGAGAGGGUGUGGCAUGCCAGUUUCUCCAUGUCAGGAGCCCGAUCUCUCCACCCCAUUCAACCGCUUUGGAAACUAGCAUUUAUUAGGCACCUGCUUCAUGCCAGGCUCUGUUAAGAAGUUGAAGGACAUAGUCUCAUUUCCUCCUUGCCCCCAGGGAAGUGAGGACGAAGCAUCACCAUCUCCACUUCGCAGAUAAGACAACUAAGGCCUUAAAAGCCUGAGCCACUGGCUUCACGUUCAAGAGCCGGAGCAGGUCUGUUUGACUCCAAAGUCCUGCCCGUGGUACCACACUGAACACAGCAGAUGCUAAAUAAAAGCUUACCGUGCAAAUGCUGGAUAAGACCAUGCCAGCCUUCUGGGCAGCUGUCUGCCCCUAAAUUCCUUUCCCUCCUGCCUGAAAUGUCACCAUUAGCAACCACAUCCUUCUGUUUCUCUGAAGAAGAUCAGCAUUAAUCUGUGCUGGGUUACCUUGCGGACUGGCUGAGCAGGACUCAGGGGCUGGGGCAGAGCCAGGGGUGAUGCAGGGGCCUUGUUUCCACCGCCCAGCCUCACCCGGGAGAAAACCUUUUGAAGACAGAGGUACAUCCUGGAAGCAGGGAAGGUGGGUCCUGGCUGGGGCCGGGUAUUGGCUGAGGAUGACAGGACUGCAGGGG
rnacentral:lncRNA from 1 species